rnacentral:rRNA from 1 species
CCUACGGGCUGCAGCAGUGGGGAAUAUUGCACAAUGGGGGAAACCCUGAUGCAGCGAAGCCGCGUGAGUGAAGACGUAUCUCGGUAUGUAAAGCUCUAUCAGCCGGGAAGAAAAUGACGGUACCUGAUUAAGAAGCGCCGGCUAACUACGUGACAGCAGCCGCGGGAAUACGUAGGGGGCAGGCGUUAUCCGGAUUUACUGGGGGUAAAGGGAGCGUAGACGGUGAGGCAAGUCCGAAGUGAAAGCGGGGGGCUCAACUCCGGGACUGCUUUUGAAACUGUGUGACUGGAGUGCAGGAGAGGUAAGCGGAAUUCGUGGUGUAGCGGUGAAAUGCGUAGAUAGCAGGAGGAACACCAGUGGCGAAGGCGGCUUACCGGACUGUAACUGACGUUGAGGCUCGAAAGCGUGGGGAGCAAACAGGAUUAGAUACCCGUGUAGUC